GGGGGUAUAGCUUAGUCGUAGAGCACAUGCUUGGUGUGCCUGAGGUCCUAGGUUCAAUCCCCAGUACCUUCA
rnacentral:tRNA from 1 species